UCUCCUCCUUCCUCCCACCACCUCGCCUCGCCAUGGCGGCCACCCUCUUCUCCACCUCGCUCACCCCCACCUUCCUCCCGGCCGUCCCCUGCCCCAAGCCCGCGCCGCCGGCCUCAGCCUGCUUCCCCUGCGCGCUGCCGCCGCGCGCCGCGCUAGCGGCGCCACCGGCGCCGCUGCGGAGGCGGCUUUCUCCCGUGGCCGUCGCGGUGUCGUCGGAGGUGGAGGAGGAGGAGGGUGGCGCGGAGUCCGAG
rnacentral:misc_RNA from 1 species